ensembl:lincRNA
CACUCUGGAGGCAGGGAGGAAGAGGGCUGGAGUAGGAAGAAUGACUGUAGGGAGGAGGCGGGAGACAUAGUCGGGAUUAGUUUCGGUGGUAGAACCGCGCAGAUUUCAGGCAUCCUUCAGCAGAGACUUACUGGCUGUCAUGUGCUCAGCCCUGUGCCAGACCCUGCUCAUCGGCAUUUGGUAUUAAGCCCCUGCUAAACAUCAAGCUUCUCAUGAAGAAAUGAGGUCAGCACACAAAGGGAAUGCCCCUUGGAGAAACUCACCACUCCAUUUGGAGCUAACUGGACCAAUUCUUGACCAGUGAAAAGAUAAAUCCAGUGUAAGGUGCAAGCACCUGCUUUUAACAUGAUGCCAUUGCGAUUUUAGCUGCUGCUCACAGGUAACUAUCGCUUUUCAAGUCUUUCCUUCCUUGUGCUUGUUAAUUCUCACAGGCCAGACCUGUAAUUGAGGGAUGAGAUUUACACAUUUGCAGCCCCCGGCUUUCCUUCUCGGCUUUCCACUCCAAUUAGGUUCCCAAGACAUGAAUCUACAGAUGAUCCGUUUUCCCAGAUCCAGAGCUGAACCCUAAUGAAGCCACACAUCUCACCUCACGGUGGUGCAGUUCUGUGGGGAGGCUGUCUCUGCAGGAUGGAACCCCUUCCCUCUCAAGAGGUGCCAGGAACCCAGACCUAUCACAAGCUGGAGAUGUCAUCCUUGUCCCACAAAGCUGUUCUGUCUGAUGUAAAGCCAUGUUCAGGUUUAUGCCCAAGGUGAACAGAAGACGGGCCUGGUGCAGUGGCUCCUGCCUGUAAUCCCAGCACUGUGGGAGGCCCAUGUGGGAAGAUGCUUACGAUGUUCAAGACCAGCUUGGGCACCAUUGUGAGAUCCUGUUUCUACAGAAAAAUAAAAAAAGUAAAAAUUAGCUAGGUGUGGUGAUGUGUGCUUAUAGUCCUAGCUACUUGGGAGGCUGAGGUGGGAGGAUUGCUUGAGACCAGGAGUUUGAGGCUGCAAUGAGCUAUGAUUGUGCCACUGCACUCAAGCCUGAGUGACAGAGAAAGACCCUGUCUCCAAAAUGAAAAGACAAAACAAAAGAAAAACACAUGUUUGGGUGGAAAGAAAGAGGCCGGGGUGGAAGUGGUGGAGGUGGGUGGUGGAGUCUUCUUUAAGCCAUGGUAGCCGCAUUUGUGCCAGCCUCUAUAAACCCUGGGAGUAAACUAUGGGCUUUCCUGCAUUGAAAAUUUUGUUUUACAAAAAUCUUUCUUUUUGGUUAAAGCACACUGCACAUUCCUCUCCAUGUAUCCGCUUACGCGUCCACUAAGACUCACCACACAUCCCAUUUUCCAUGAAGCCCUCAUAAUAUAAUUAGCAGUCACCUCUGCACGGCAGAGCCUGAGAACAGCACUGGCAUCAUGAGAUGGGAGCCAGGUCCUAGAUGGGGACCUUAGACUUAGGCUGGGAGCCAGUGGUGCCUGGGGCUCCUGAAGCCUUCACACCCAGUGUACCUAGCAGGCCUUGGUAGCCUGUACAUCACCAGUGAUAAUCUGCAUAUCUAUGGGAGAGACACAAUAAGGCUUUGCCCAUACCAGGUGGGAGAGAGCUUAAUUUAAUCCUCCGGGGUUGUAUGUUUUAAAAUCAAACAAAACAGAUCAAUUCUUAAGUCUGAAGACCUAAGUUUGGUUCCUUUUUAGUCAGAGAUCUUGGACAAAUCAAUGUUUUCGAUCAUCAGAUUUCUCAUCUGUAAUAUUGGGGUAACAGUACAUAAUUGGGUUGUCAAAGGGGUUGGGUAAGAUUAUGUUCAGUGCUGUGUAAAUAAUAAAUAUUAUAGAAGUAUGAAGAGUUAUUACUGCUACCUAAAACUCUGGGCUUAGGAGAAUUAUGGAAAGCUAACAUCUGAUUCAAAGGAUUUUAUUUGAUGUUUUGAACCCCAAUUUCCAAGAAAAAAAUGUACCUCUCCUUCUUUCCCUCCCUUCAUGCGAGACACAUUUAUUGGACACUCACUAUGAGGACUUGGCACUGGGAUACUAAGAGGAACAAGACCAGGUCUUUGCCUUCAUAUAGCUCAUAGUCUAGCGAGGAAGACAGAUUGAUAAAGAAAUAGAUUAUUCUAAAUUGUGAUGUGUACUAUGAUAGAGGAAUGUCUUGGGUUUAGAGAUUGGGAAGGGCAGGGAAUGAUUAAGUAGAGGCAGGAAGGGCUUCUUCAUAAAGCUAAUACUUGUACUGGGUCUUGAAGGAAUUGUCCAGGAAGAUAUGGAGGUAUGAAGGGCAUUUCUGGUAGAAAAGAAAAUAGAGCUUGGUUCAGAUAAUGAGAAAACACACAAACGGAGGAGCUUGAUUGUGAUUUUAGCCCUAGAGAAGGAGCAGAUUUAUAGUAAUUUUAGUGACUCUGAGCUAGGAAAGACUAUUGGACACUUGUAUUCUUCACAUAAAACAGGAUAAAAAGGAUGAGAGGAUUGGAGAUAGAAGUGGGAUCUUACAGAAUCUUGACAGUGAGAAGUGUUGAUCAUAAAAAAUGGCAUUCAGUACAGAAGAAUAUAAACUUCUGUACUUGUAUUCAAAACCUAAACUGCCUGUGAAUAGGGUGGAGGAGACAGUGCCAAGCUGAGGUAUGUACUGAAAAAUUCAAUACAUAUACCCAACGGGAUAAUGUGACCUAAAAUUCUAAUUGGCCCACAGAAGUCAUUACAUGAGAUGACAUAGCAAUAAAUGCACAUUAAUAUCAUGUGGGCAGCUUUAAGAAAAAUACGGAUACUUACAGCCAUUCCCGUAUCAAUCAGAUCAAAGUUUUUAGUGGUGAGGCCCAACUCCAGGUCUUGUUCAAGAUCCUCCUACAUGAUUUAGAAGUGCAGCUAUGGUGGAGAAUCAUUGUAAUAAACUGAAGUGACUAACAAAACUGCCUCCCCACAGACGUUCAAAACUGGUAACUCUCCCGUGACCAAUAUGUCACUGCCCAGAAAGAAGCAUUGACUGCUUUCCUUAAUCUCUACUGGUUAGACUGUGUGGGCUGCUUUCUUAUGGCAACUGCCUCAUCAGAUGGACAGGUGGAACUUCCCGUCAAUUGCUAAGAGUAUAUUUCAAAUCUCCCAAUAUAAUUGUGGAUUUGUCUAUUUCUCCCUUUAAUUCUGACAAUUUGUGCCUAGUGUAUUUUGAGGCUCUGUUAUUAGGCUGAUAUGAAUUAACAAUGUUACACCUUUCUGAUAGAUUGACC